rnacentral:rRNA from 1 species
AUGGACGUGGACUCGGCGCCGGCGCUGAAGAGGAAGGGCGCGGACGCGCCGGAGCUGUGGCUGGACGACGACGUCGGCCCUGGGUUCCCGGUCGCCUCCCGCGCCACCAAGAUCCGCCGCCUGGACCCGGACAUGAUGCCCGUCGUGCCCGGCGCGUUCGUGCCGCCACCGCCACCGGGAACGCAGCUGCCUGUGGCAGGCUUCGGGGUGGUGGAGGAGGCGCCGAUGUGCGGCGACGUGGCGGUGGUGCCGGUGGACAUGGCGACGGCGCCGCCGCUGCCGGCGAACGAGGAGCGGGCGAUCGUCUUGUACCGGCCCGCCGAGGCCGAGCGCAGGCUGCUGCUCGGCCCGCUCCGGCCGGGCGGCCAUCUCCGCGUCAGCCCCGAGUGGAUCCAAGCGCUCAACGGCACGACGCUGCAGGAGGCGAGCAGCCGCCGCGCGCUGUUCGAGGGGCUCGCCGGAGCCGAGAGCUCCAACCUGGCCAUGGUCCCCUGGGCGCCGCCCCGCGCCCAGGCGGCGUCCAUGGCCGAGGAGAUGAUGGAGGCCGAGGACGGCGAGGGCGCGUCCAUGGAGGUGGAGCAGGACAGGGCCGAGCAGCAGCUCCCGAUGCCCCAGUGGCCGCAGCAGCAGCAGCACUACAUGGUGCAGCAGCAGCCGAUCCCGGUGGCGUGGUCAUUGUGA